rnacentral:hammerhead_ribozyme from 1 species
AUCCAGCUGAGGAGUCUCAAAUAAGAUGAAAUGCGCAUGCUGGGU